UCCCCCAAACCUCUGUGUGCCUGGGCGUGCUUAUCGAACGGUGAUUGGAGCACCAACGUGUACGCUCCGCCAUGCACCAGCCCGUUCGCGAAGACAACCUUAUCGGCCCCUUCAUCUCUAGUAAGGAAACACACGCGCGAAUCACCCUACCCUCUGUUGCGCGUAGCAUCGAUCAUCCGAGUGUUGGGAGUCUCGGACCACUGGGCGGGUCAUCGUCGGGGUAGGCCCCGCCGCCCAGCUCUGUUGCGCCGCCGCUCUGGUGAACGUCGGGAUGGGAAGAUGACACUGGUGUACCAUUGGAUCGGUCUCGAGCGGACGAUAUUAGAGUUUAGUGCCGCUUGGUCGGAUGCGUUUUGAGCCAUCAAUCUCAAGAUAAACGAUCACAAAUGGAUUCAGUUGUGAAAGGUUUGGAACCAUUAGAUUGCCAAUGGACGUGCGAGAUCACAUGUUGGAUAACCCUUCAACCUUUUAAUCUGGGCGGUCGGGUUUAGAUCCGACGGUUGAGAUGUGCCCGUACCCCUUCGGUUGGGGCAAAUUCAUUAAGAGACCCUAUAGUUCUCUAUAAUCAACUUGUGGUCCCACCUAGUCUUAGAACUAUCGCAACUAGGUCCAGAAAUUUGCGUGCGACCCCUCGAGAUUCUGGAGAUUUGUGGCCGCAACCCAAAAGGUUAAUAAAAUGGUUAAAAUCAAUAAGGAAAAUGAUUCUUAGUUUAAAAAUAAUUCAUGAAACUGUUUAAUUCAUAUUUAAUUCGUUUUAACUCCAAAUUAAUUCAUUCCAGUUGCAUUAGACUCAAAUUAAUAUUGUUUAUCAUCCAGUAACUUUAUUUUGUUAUGAAAUUGGGAUUAAAAUUUAUGCACUUGGUUCAUUUUAAUCCAACACUUAAAACUUCGAAAAUCCAUAACUUCUUCGUUUUAAUUCCGAUUUGGUCCGUUCAAGUCGCGCUAACUUCAUAUGAAUAUUUACUAUGCACUAACAACAUCAUUUAUACCAUAUCGCAUAAUUUUACAGUUAGAUAUUUGCUUAACCUAUGUCUACUAGAUUAACUCUUCUAAUCAAAGCUAACAUGUCCAUAUAUAUAAAUUUGGUUAAAAUAUGAUCUCUAGUCAUGUUAUAAUUAAGAUUAAAGUUGAAUUAAUUAUUUCUUUAGAUUAUCUUUAUAAAAUCAAAACAAGACCUAGUUUUAAUCACUUACACACAUGGGUCUCGAACCCACAAUCUCAUAGAAUAUUCUCAUGCAGUUUGUUCUUAUGUUUGGCGUGAUGUUAUUUUGCUAAUACCCUGUUUGUUUGUAUUGCUAUGACUAGCGCGAGGUUGCGAGUCACCUGAAGAGCAAGUUGGUACCUGGAAUCUCAAGUCCCAGGCAAGUUGUGCCCUUGAUCACUUCUUUUUACCCAAUCAUGUUCUCAUUAAUCAUAAUGAUCUGCAUAGGUUAAUUUUGAUGGGAUCCAAUAGGUCACCCUAGUUUGGCUAUCUUUAUACCUUGUUUACCACUAAAUUUUUUGGGUAGUACAUGUUAUUGCUUUAUGUGGUUUUGGAUAUGGAGAUACACAUUAUUCAUGAUUCUACUUUUAUUAUCAGUUUGUUAUUUACUAUUCAUGAUAAGAUCAUUAUGUUAAUUGGAACAUGGAGAACCACCCGAAAAAACAGUGCUACCAUAAGGGUGGUAUGGGACGUCCUUGGCUGACUAAUUAGGAAAGCUAGUGGAGGACUACCUUACCCAAAAGGGGCAAUGGCAGUAGGGGAGUGGUCAUUGUGGGGAUGCCCUUGGGUUGAUUUUGCUGAGAUGGCGGUCACGCGAGGGGUCCCUGCAUUGGAGCUUCAUAGAAACUGUACCGGGUUUUCUGAAGCUAGUGGAAGUUUGUAAAGGCCUCGUAGUGUUACCCUGCCUCGCUUCCUUGGUAGAGGUGUAUGGGAGUCGCAAUCCCUUAGCAGAUGGGUAACAUGACUUGUGGGUAAAUAUGUGCAACCACUACAGAGUGUAAAACUGGUAUACUAGCCGUGCUCACGGUCAUGAGCAGCUCGGACAAUCACAUGAUUAAUUUAUGGAAUUAAAUUCAAUUUGUCAUUUGCAUCGCAUUGGGAUUUAUUAUUAUUUUGACUUACUAUUACUAUAGUUUGGUAUUUACUUACAUUUAGUAAAUUCUAAUAAAAUUUUGACUAACUUAUAAAAUCAAUGCUCAGCUUUAGCCGUCCUCUUUGGUAAGCCUUACACUUCACAUGAGCUCCCGCCUUUGGUGAGUACAUGCACAUUAUUUCCCACAACUUGUUGAGCGAUGAACGUAUGUGAGCUCACUCUUGUUAUCUCACACCCCCAUAGGUCAAGAACAGGUACUGCAGGAUGAGGCGCAUGGAGGAUGCUACGAUGUGUUUGUGAGAGGUCUAGGUCGUCAUCUCCCAGUCAACUUUGGGUUGAUGGAUCAUUGUCUCCUUACAAUGUAAUUAUUUAUUUAUUUUGUACAAAACUCCUAUUACAUAGUAAAGAU
rnacentral:lncRNA from 1 species